rnacentral:misc_RNA from 1 species
AACGCACGAGACCUGCGGACCUGCGGAAGGAUCAUUACAUGAUUUGAGGGGGCUCACGUCCCCUCAUCCAACCCACAAACCCCGAGGAACUUUUAUGUCGAGUGGUUCGGCGCUCUCUUUGAGAGCCGCCCCUCAAACGCAUCGCAGGCUUUCGUGAAGGUCUGAUGUGUCACAUCGUGAGUAUUAAAACUUUUAGCAACGGAUCUCU